CUGCUAUUAUUGGGGCUCCUAACUCACAUUCCCCUUCAAGACUUCACAAUGGAUGAUGCAAAAUCGAGUUUUUGAUGCU
rfam:Triticum aestivum genome assembly, contig: Triticum_aestivum_CS42_TGACv1_scaffold_049440_1BS